UGCAUGGGUAUCUGUGCUCAUGAUGCAAUAGAAAUUCAAUAUCUGGCUUUGUAGGCUUCUUGGCUUUGUAUAUUUUCUUGGUUUUGUGUUUGCUAAACCUGAUAAUUCUAUUGAUGCAGUU